rnacentral:rRNA from 1 species
UAACGGCGAGUGAAGCGGUAAAAGCUCAAAUUUGAAAUCUGGUACUUUCAGUGCCCGAGUUGUAAUUUGUAGAAUUUGUCUUUGAUUAGGUCCUUGUCUAUGUUCCUUGGAACAGGACGUCAUAGAGGGUGAGAAUCCCGUUUGGCGAGGAUACCUUUUCUCUGUAAGACUUUUUCGAAGAGUCGAGUUGUUUGGGAAUGCAGCUCAAAGUGGGUGGUAAAUUCCAUCUAAAGCUAAAUAUUGGCGAGAGACCGAUAGCGAACAAGUACAGUGAUGGAAAGAUGAAAAGAACUUUGAAAAGAGAGUGAAAAAGUACGUGAAAUUGUUGAAAGGGAAGGGCAUUUGAUCAGACAUGGUGUUUUUUUAAUGUGCAAGUCUCUCGUGGACAUGUGCCUCUGGAAAUUAACACUGGGCCAACAUCAGUUCUGGCGGCAGGAUAAAUCAUUAAGAAUGUAGCUACCUCGGUAGUGUUAUAGCUUUUUGGAAUACUGCCAGCUGGGAUUGAGGACUGCGCUUCGGCAAGAUGUGGGCAUAAUGGUUAAAUGCCGCCCGUCUUG